GUCAUUUACCGCCAAGGUUUUGUGCGUCUAGGAUUGUGUUACUCAAUCUAAAUUUGAGAAUUAUUUAACUUCCACAGCAGAUUCAUUCUUUUAGCGGUAUUUCUCCCCGUAGCCUGCAAAAUUAAACUAAUUCAUGUAAUUUGUAAAUGGAUUUGGGGCCAGCUAAUCCCCUUUGCCACGAUGCUAUUAGGAAAGACUAUAAUGGAAGUAUUUUAACAUCCAGUACAUUAAGGAGGAACAGAGAUAUCUUUUCUGUUAUUCUGUGGUAAUGCCAGCUACUUUAUCACCCUGUUCCAUCAACUAAGCAAACGAGGUGCAGAUGAAAAAGUUUUCUUUUUGCUAAACAAAAAAAAGUGCUGCAUUGGCAUGAAGUAUGGACACCCCGCGCCGCCAUCGAACUGGAACUGCGACUGGAACGUUAUACAAAAGAAACGAGACGUGGCCGUCGUCGAAAAAGAACUUUGCAGCCAAAAGUUGUGGUACUGGCCAUCGUUUCUCCAAACAGUUGAACAAUACAGCCGCCAACAAGUAAGUUUGACUUUUCUUAUAAAAUUUUUAAUUUCACAUUUGCAAUAUGCAACCAGGGGCAAUGUGCGACGUCCAGAAGGCGUCCUCAACCGUGGAACGGUGACGAAGAGGCUCUGAAGAAGUGCGUCGCUAUAGUGUGUUCGCCCGGACACGGAUGAUGGCCAGUGAGGCCCUGUUGAAAAGUCGGUCGAUAAAAUUUGUGCUCCCUUCAAGCAAACACAUUCCAAAAGCUGUGACAUGCGAUGAAAAGGAACUGUUUAAGGGCAUUGUCUAUGUGGGAACGCUUUAACAAUUUUGAUAAAGUUGUCCUCCAUGCUACAGGAAAAGAUGUACUUCAAUACAUAAGAUCAUUCGAAGAAGCCGGCCUGCACCAACUACUACUUCAAAACAUUAAGAAUUCUGGCUACAUAAAACCAACACCUGUUCAGAAAGCUUCAGUUGUAG